AAAACGCGUAAUUUUUGCUUAAAUGGGGGAUUUCUGAUGAGAAACCGUGUGAUUUUUGCUUAAAUGGGGGAUUUCCGAAGAGAAAACGCGUGAUAUUUGCUUAAAUGUGGGAUUCUCGGAGAUAAAUCACGUGAUAUCCGAUUAAAAGGGGGAUUUCCGAAAAGAAAACGCGUGAUUUUUGCUUUAAAGGGGGUUUCUGAUGAGAAAAAGCGUCAUAUUUGCUUAAAUGGGGGGUUUCUGAAGAGGAAACACAACAUUUUCGCUAAAAUUGGGGUUUUCCGAAGAGAAAACGCGUGAUUUUUGCUUAAAUGGGGGAUUUCUGAUGAGAAACCGUGUGAUUUUUGCUUAAAUGGGGGAUUUCUGAAGAGGAAACAUGACAUUUUUGCUAAAAUGGGGGAUUUCCGAAGAGAAAAUUCAUGGUUUUCGAUAAAUGGUUUAUUCUCGAAGGAAAAAACGCGUGAUUUUCGCUUAAAUGGCAGAUUUCCAAAGAGAAAAUUCAUGAUUUUCGCUUAAAUGGUGGACUUCCAAAGAGAAAAUUGAUCAUUUUCGCCUAAGUGGGGGAUUUCCAAAGAGAAAACGCGUGAUAUUCGCUUAAAUGGGUGAUUUCCGAGGAGAAAAUUCAUGAUUUUCGCUUAAAUGGGGGAUUUCCGAAGAGAAAACGCACGAUUUUCGCUUAAAUGGCAGAUUUCUGAAGAGAAAACGCGUGAUUUUCGCUUAAAUGGUGUAUUCUCUAAGAAAAAACCCGUAAUAUUUGCUUAAAUGGGUGAUUUCCGAGGAGAAAAUUCAUGAUUUUCGCUUAAAUGGGGGAUUUCCAAAAAGAAAACGCGUGAUAUUUGCUUAAAUGUGGGAUUCUCAGAGAUAAAACAGUUGAUAUUCAAUGAAAUGGGGGUUUUCCGAAGAGAAAAUGUGUGAUUUUCGCUUAAAUUGGGAUUUUUGAAAAGAAAUCUCAUGAUUUUCGCUAAAAUGGGGGAUUUCCGAGAAGAAAACACGUGAUUUUCACUUAAAUGGGGGAUUUCUAAAGAGAAAAUGCAUGAUUUUCACUUAAAUGGGGGAUUUCCAAAGAGAAAACACAGGAUUAUCGCUUAAAUGGGGGAUUUUCAAAGAUAAAAUGCAUGAUUUUCGCUUAAAUGCAGGAUUUGCGAUGAGAAAACGCUUAAUUUUUGCUUAAAUGGGGGAUUUCCGAAGAGAAACCAUGUGAUUUUUGCUUAAAUGGGGGAUUUCCGAAGAUAAAACGCGUGAUUUUUGCUUAAAUGGGGAUUUCUGAUGAGAAAACGCGUGAUUUUUGCUUAAAUGGGGGAUUUCUGAUGAGAAAACGCGUGAUUUUUGCUAAAAUGGGGGGUUUCUGAAGAGGAAACACGACAUUUUCGCUAAAAUGGGGGAUUUCCGAAGAGAAAACGCGUGAUAUUUGCUUAAAUGGGGGAUUUCCGAGAAGAAAACACGUGAUUUUUGCUUAAAUGGCAGAUUUCUGAGGAGAAAACGCAUGAUUUUCACUUAAAUGGGAAAUUUCCGAAGAGAAAACACAGGAUUAUCGCUUAAAUGGGGGAUUUUCAAAGAUAAAAUGCAUGAUUUUCACUUAAAUGGGGGAUUCUCGAAGAGAAAACGCGUAAUUUUUGCUUAAAUGGGGGAUUUCUGAUGAGAAACCGUGUGAUUUUUGCUUAAAUGGGGGAUUUCUGAAGAGGAAACAUGACGUUUUUGCUAAAAUGGGGGAUUUCCGAAGAGAAAACGCGUGAUUUUCGCUUAAAUGGUUUAUUCUCGAAGAAAAAACCCGUGAUAUUCUCUUAAAUGGGUGAUUUCCGAGGAGAAAAUUCAUGAUUUUCGCUUAAAUGGCAGAUUUCUGAAGAGAAAACGCGUGAUUUUCACUUAAAUGGGGGAUUUCCGAAGAGAAAACACAGGAUUAUCACUCAAAUGGGGGAUUUUCAAAGAUAAAAUGCAUGAUUUUUGCUUAAAUGCGGGAUUUGCGAUGAGAAAACGCGUAAUUUUUGCUUAAAUGGGGGAUUUCUGAUGAGAAACCGUGUGAUUUUCGCUUAAAUGGGGGAUUUCCGAAGAGAAAACGCGUGAUAUUUGCUUAAAUGUGGGAUUCUCGGAGAUAAAGAGCGUGAUAUCCGAUUAAAAGAAGGAUUUCCGAAAAGAAAACGCGUGAUUUUUGCUUUAAUGAGGGUUUCUGAUGAGAAAAAGCGUCAUAUUUGCUUAAAUGGGGGGUUUCUGAAGAGGAAACACAACAUUUUCGCUAAAAUGGGGGUUUUCCGAAGAGAAAACGCGUGAUUUUCGCUUAAAUGGGGGAUUUCUGAUGACAAAACACGUGAUUUUCGCUAAAAUGGGGGAUUUCUGAAGAUAAAAUGCAUGAUUUUCACGUAAAUGGGGGAUUCUCGAAGAGAAAACGCGUAAUUUUUGCUUAAAUGGGGGAUUUCUGAUGAGAAACCGUGUGAUUUUUGCUUAAAUGGGGGAUUUCUGAAGAGGAAACAUGACGUUUUUGCUUAAAUGGGGGAUUUCCAAAGAGAAAAUUCAUGAUUCUUGCUUAAAUGGGGGAUUUCCAAAGAGAAAACGCAUGAUAUUUGCUUAAAUGGGGGAUUUCCAAAGAGAAAACGCAUGAUAUUUGCUUAAAUGUGGGAUUCUUGGAGAUAAAGAGCUUGAUAUUCAAUGAAAUGGGGGUUUUCCGAAGAGAAAACGCGUGAUUUUCGCUUAAAUUGGGAUUUUUGAAAAGAAAUCUCAUGAUUUUCGCUGAAAUGGGGGAUUUCCGAGAAGAAAACACGUGAUUUUCACUUAAAUGGGGGAUUUCUAAAGAGAAAAUGCAUGAUUUUCACUUAAAUGGGGGAUUUCCAAAGAGAAAACACAGGAUUAUCGCUUAAAUGGGGGAUUUUCAAAGAUAAAAUGCAUGAUUUUCGCUAAAAUGCAGGAUUUGCGAUGAGAAAACGCUUAAUUUUUGCUUAAAUGGGGGAUUUCCGAAGAGAAACCAUGUGAUUUUUGCUUAAAUGGGGGAUUUCCGAAGAUAAAACGCGUGAUUUUCGCUUAAAUGGGGGAUUUCUGAUGAGAAAACGCGUGAUAUUUGCUUAAAUGGGGGGUUUCUGAAGAGGAAACAUGACAUUUUCGCUAAAAUGGGGGAUUUCCAAAAAGAAAACGCGUGAUAUUUGCUUAAAUGUGGGAUUCUCAGAGAUAAAACAGUUGAUAUUCGAUGAAAUGGGGGUUUUCCGAAGAGAAAACGCGUGUUUUUUGCUUAAAUGGGGGAUUUCUGAUGAGAAAACGCGUGAUUUUCGCUAAAAUGGGGGAUUUCCGAGAAGAAAAUUCAUGAUUUUCACUUAAAUGGCAGAUUUCUGAAGAGAAAACGCGUGAUUUUCACUUAAAUGGGGGAUUUCCGAAGAGAAAACACAGGAUUAUCGCUUAAAUGGGAGAUUUUCAAAGAUAAAAUGCAUGAUUUUCACUUAAAUGGGGGAUUCUCGAAGAGAAAACGCGUAAUUUUUGCUUAAAUGGGGGAUUUCUGAUGAGAAACCGUGUGAUUUUUGCUUAAAUGGGGGUUUCUGAAGAGGAAACACGACAUUUUCGCUAAAAUGGGGGAUUUCCGAAGAGAAAACGCAUGAUAUUUGCUUAAAUGUGGGAUUCUCGGAGAUAAAGUGCGUGGUAUCCGAUUAAAAGGGGGAUUUCCGAAAAGAAAACUCCUGAUUUUUGCUUAAAUGGGGGAUUUCCGAAGAUAAAACGCGUGAUUUUUGCUUAAAUGGGGGAUUUCUGAUGAGAAAACGCGUGAUAUUUGCUUAAAUGGGGGAUUUCCGAGGAGAAAAUUCAUGAUUUUCGCUUAAAUGGGGGAUUUCCAAAUAGAAAACGCGUGAUAUUUGCUUAAAUGUGGGAUUCUCAGAGAUAAAACAGUUGAUAUUCAAUGAAAUGGGAAUUUUCCGAAGAGAAAAUGUGUGAUUUUCGCUUAAAUGUGGGAUUUUUGAAAAGAAAUCUCAUGAUUUUCGCUUAAAUGGGGGAUUUCCGAGAAGAAAACACGUGAUUUUCACUUAAAUGGGGGAUUUCCGAAGAGAAAACACAGGAUUAUCGCUUAAAUGGGGGAUUUUCAAAGAUAAAAUGCAUGAUUUUCCCUUAAAUGCGGGAUUUGCGAUGAGAAAACGCUUAAUUUUUGCUUAAAUGGGGGAUUUCUAAUGAGAAACCGUGUGAUUUUUGCUUAAAUGGGGGAUUUCUGAAGAGGAAACAUGACGUUUUUGCUAAAAUGGGGGAUUUCCGAAGAGAAAACGCAUGAUUUUCACUUAAAUGGGGGAUUCUUGAAAAGAAAACGCGUGAUAUUUGCUUAAAUGUGGGAUUUUUGAAAGGAAAACACGUGAUUUUCGCUUAAAUGGGGUAUUCUCGAAGAAAAAACCCGUGAUAUUCGCUUGAAUAGGUGAUUUCCGAGGAGAAAA
rnacentral:lncRNA from 1 species